GGUCACGGCGCCGACAGGCCGCCUACGGGCUUGUGCUUUUCGAUCCGGCCGGCUCGAGGGGCUUGGGAUUCCGGGGAGCUCCGGGGGUCUAGGGGCCCGGAGUCCCAGGAACUCCAGAGUUCUCGGGUGGGGGGGGGGCCCGGGGGACUCGGAAGCUCUCAGAGUCUUGGGGAUCUCAGGGGCCGGGGAACUCCAGGACUCUGGGGUUCUCGAGGGCCCAGGGCGGUCUCAGGGCGGGGUGUUUGCCUCAGGAUCCCGGAGGAUUCGGGGCACCGUGGUCGUGACCCGCUGGCGUGGGCUCCCCAGGAACCGACGCCCUGGUUUUGCGUUUUCUGCGGCCUACACCGACUCUGGACUUGUGAAUGCAGCGAAAUCUUAAUGAAUGAGUAAAGCGACAGCAGAGUCGUCCGCGGGGUGGGGGCUACCAAUCUCCUCACCCCGGUCUGCGAAGCCAGACCCAGGUCCCCUGACGGUUGCCUUGCAUGGAUUCCUCUGAAAAAACAGAUAUUUCCAGUCCCAACUUCUCUCUCAAUGCCAGUCUGACAUUUCCAAUCAAUUGUGAAAUGCCCACCUGCGUGAUUUCAGAUGUGCCAAACCGGACAUUUCUGAAAAUCAAAAACUCGUCUUCUCCCUGUAAGUAGACCUAUCCUCACACUGCCAUGCCAGAGGGCAGCCCGCGCCCUGACUCCCCUGCAGACUGCAGAAAAAGGACUUGCUAAGUCCCAAGAACACAGGGCAGAGAAGACAAAGCCUGAUCCAAGGCAGAGGGUUGCAAUUAGCCCCACAAAGUGCAUUAGGAACAUCAAGGGGGGGCCGGUGGAGACAGACAGAGGCGUCUGACAGAGGAGAAAGUUGAUAAGGGAGGUGCAUCUGGACACUUACUACUGUAACUUCUGCUAACAGUGUGGCGACUCCCUCAGGUAACACAUGUCGUGGUAAGCCUAUGGACUUGUGACCAUGUGCUGAGCACUAUUCGAAGCGCUUAACUACGUAUUAACUCACUUAAUUCCUACAACCCCACAAGGUGGGUGGGUAAACCAAGGCACGGGAAGCUGCUCACUAGCCUGUGGUCAAACAGUUAACGGUGGCAGAGUUGGGUUUGAACCCAGGUGGCCUGGCCCAGCAUUUUUGUUCUUGACCAUUAGCUGUUCUGCUUCUCUGUCACCUUCUCAGAUCCUUUCAACAAGUCCUAUUGUUGUUACAGAAACUUCCUAUGUUCUGAAGUUGAAAAUAAUUUUGAAUCACGAUUCUCUCAGUUAUUAACUAUAAUGCCCUUUUUUGUGUUAUCAGGAGGUUAGAUAAAUAUGCCUCCUAUGUCUCCGUGGCACUUGCACAAAAGCAUCUGGGAUAAUCAGGACUCUGUGGCCACAGUCACCUGCUGAACUGCUGGACAGCCCCGCAGAGCUCUGCUGGUGCCCUUCCUCUCCCUCGGGUGCCCGUGAGUUCCCUCAGCCCCUCCCGUCGCCCUCACGCUUACGUGGCCGGAUCCUCCUUGAAAAUCCAAUAUUUGGGUAAGUCCAACCAAUCCUUGGCUUCAGACAGACAACUAUCCUUCCUUGAGCUCUUUCCUCCCUCUAGGCAAAAAUCAAACAACUUCUUAUAUUUCUACAGGUCAUUAACAUUUACAAAGUGCUGUACUUUUUAGUGUCAACAGUAUUCCCAACAACUUUGUGGUGUGGGGUUAACAUAGGAUUACAGGUUUGCUUCUCCCCAAAAUCACGUGGCUCUAAGUGGCAAACAGGAUGGGACCCCACUGGCCUGUAAAUGCAAUCGUUAUAUAUAGACAGCAUAUGGAGGGGACAGAACUGUUUAAAAUGGUAAUAAUAAUAUAAAGUCAAUAUACGUGAUGUUGUUGGUUUUACACAGAACAGUUGAAGCCUACUUGGUCACGUAGAACAGAAGAGGAACCGUUCUUUUUUUUUUUUUUUAAUUUUUCAACGUUUAUUUAUUUUUGGGACAGAGAGAGACAGAGCAUGAACGGGGGAGGGGCAGAGAGAGAGGGAGACACAGAAUCGGAAACAGGCUCCAGGCUCUGAGCCAUCAGCCCAGAGCCCGACAUGGGGCUCGAACUCACGGACCGCGAGAUCGUGACCUGGCUGAAGUCGGACGCUUAACCGACUGCACCACCCAGGCGCCCCGAGGAACCGUUCUUUGAAAGAAACCCAAAACAGGACUCUUGACAAAGAGCAAAUACAUUAACAUGUGUGUCAGAAAAGAAAUGUGAGGUAAUUUUGUAAAUCUUAUCAGUAAAAAACUGACAGGCCUUUCAUAUUUUUACUGUUCUCUCAUGAAUUUGGAAUCAUAUUUGCCAAAAAAACAAUAAUCACUUGCCAUGGUGAAGAGUCCAAGGCCUCAAAUCCCCACCCCAGCUCUGCCCUAUACAAGCUGCAUGUGCUGUGGUGGGUGAGUCAGCUCCACGGAGCCCUGGCCCCUGUUUGCCAAGUGGAGAAAUCAUGUCCACCCCCAAAGGAUUGUUUACGGUGAUUAGUUAAGAGAUUCUCGGCUGCCACAUGUGGCAAUGAAAUCAUCCCUCUGAGCGCGUCGUCAUGCACAAUCUGAGUUCUUUGCUAGCUUUGUAAGGGACAAGAACCAGCACAUGAACAGAAGAGACGUAUGGAACACCCUCCGGUCAUCGUGCGUCUAUGGGUGUGACGUUGGGGGAGGGGCUGUGGGAAAACGAGGCCACUCGCAGGAGCUGCGCAGCCGGGAGGCGUGUCUGAAGGCCCAAGCCCCUCGGUCCGGAGCCGCACAGCCGGGAGGAGGUGCCCAGCAUCGCACACCACCUGCGUGGUGAUGAGAAUCAUCGUCCUUCCCUUUGCACCUGCCCUUUGCCUGGCUCAGCGUGGCUUCCUGGGGACAGGUGUGUGUCCCGAAGCAGUAAGAGGCAGCUGGUGUCUGGGGGCCCUUUUAGAGGAGAGUCGGAAAAGCCACCUGCAGUGAAGGCAGGUCACCAAUUCUUGAGCUGAUUUCCACCGUGUUUGAAGAUGUCUGGUGACUCAGGCUCCUCAGAGGGUGAGCCUCGUGGCGGAAGUAAGCCUUGGCUGUGGCGAAGGACCCUCAAGGGUGCCCUGCGGUGCUUUCUGGCGACUUCAGCCAGUUGGGGUCCGUCACGGCAACAGGCUGUCUUCCAUGCCUGUUGUGCGGAAUUGGUCUUCUCUGUUGUACUUUCUUGUUGCUGUGAUUCUCACAGAUGAAAAGUACGUUUUGCAGCAGAAUCUGUGCCUGGGGAAUGUGAUCAAACUUCUUGCCUAAAAGGAGCCUUUGUGUGGGUGUUCGUACUUCGCCUGGCGUAGCUGUGCGGUAUCAGUGUUAGGACCCUGCCCGUCCGUGAACACUUCUGAUCCACUGUCCACAGGCCGGUGGCUUGGCGCAAGCCUGCUGUGCGGUCACCUUUCGCUCACUGAGUCACCAUCACAGGACCUUGACCACCUACCUGCCCCUCCCGUGCACCUUGUGCAGUGCUUGGUGAUGGGGCUGCCGUUUGCUGUUCCAGACCGGCCGGCCACACCUCCACACAGCGGGAUGUGUCCGCCCUGCGGUGCGGAGCCGCCUCCUUCCUCCUGCGCUCCAACCUCACCACCCACAGUAGAGUUCCUUCUUUCAAGGAAAGGUCAGUUAGGUUCGUCUUUCGGAGUCUGGGGCUGUUACGGCACCGGUGGCCGGCAGAGGCCUGGCUUAACCCAACGGCCCAAGGACUCUCUGCAGCAACUCACUACUCAUCCUCAUCCGGAGAAUAUCUGGUUCUGUGCUACAGCUUCCCAGCUAGAAGUCACUUGUUCACAUGUUUCAGAUACGAAAUGUAAAAACCAAGACCCUUAUUAGGAUGCGCUACGGCACAGCGAUUGUGGCCCAUUGUGUCAGAGUCUCGAAAACGGCCACAGGGUAUGUCUGGGGAUACCCAGGAGCCCCCAUCCUGUGUGGGAGCGGCAUUCCCAAACUUUUGGGGAACACGGCCUGAGAAGGCUCGUAAAGCUGCAGACCGUGCGUGAAUGCGGGGAGAGUCAGAGUGCCUUCUCGGCCUUUCUGACGGAGGCCGAGGGAGCCAGAAGGGAGCACAGAUUCAAGAUGCGGCUGCCACAACCCGGUGUUCGAAACACAUUUGCCCACAGUGUCAACCCCACACGUCACCAGCACCGCUUUGUAGUGAGGUAUGCAUUGUCCUCUGCCGUCUUGGUUUUGGCCACAAUUCGCCUCCCUGUGGAAGUGAUGUGCUGUAAGAGAAUCCGAAAAACCAAAAUGCGGAGCCCCACCAGACUCCAGGCAGUGGACCAGAUCUGGGCGACGAGUGGAAAUACUUUGUGAUGCCCCAGUGUGAAUAAUAGGACACGAAUCACAGAGGAUUGUGUCUUUCUACCUGCACGCAUCUGCUGCUUGCCUGAGGCAACGGGAGAUCAUGUGUUGCUUGUGACCACCCAGUGGUUCAGAUCCAGCCCCUGUGACCUCUGGGGGCUCUCCAGGCUGGUGUGAGAAUGACAGCACCUGUAAGUAGGGUGUGAGCUGAUGGAAAGCAGUGUGCUGUGACCACAGCCCAGGGCACACGUUACAGGUGACCAGAGGCAAUUGUUCGAAUUUCUCAGCAAGGCCUCUGGUGCAGCCAGCCGGUCCAGCUAACGUCACCCUCCUGAGACCCAGGUCUUGAGGGUUGUUCCCACCCCGUGCUCCCCAGUGGAGCCUGAAGGCCAGCCUGCAGCCAGCGCCCCUGACUCCUUGCAGUCAGGAACCUCCUUCUGAGCACCAGGGCCUCGGCUCUUCUGGCUUUGACCUGUGAGGCUCUCCUACCACCAGGCUACGCAGCCUCCUCGUGACAACAGAAUCACUGUGGAUGAAGUCCACUCACCCACAACUGAAACUCGCACUACCAGGAAGAGCCGCGGGGCUUGGUGGCUGGCCAGUAGACUGCAUAAAUACAAGACUCCAUGUGGCUCGGCCUCACGCCAAAUGUCAGAAAGGGAAGGCCAGUGUGCCCCCCAACUCUUGGGCUUGGGGAGCGUGCACGGAGUGAAACCAAGAGGGCAAUGAGUGAAGGCGGUGUGGAACAGGACGGUCUUUCCCUUCUGUGUGACUCCUGCCGAGACCCACACGGCGGAUGGCAAGUCCCCGAGGGUGGAGCGCCUGGGAGCCACCUCUCAGCCAGAUGCGGGGCUGGUGUCCCUUCCACCCUCCAGAGGAGAGCCAGACGGCCACAUUCAUUCCUCUUGUUACACUCUUGCUCAAGGUCAGCACAAGGGGCCGCGAAUGCUGCUCACUUGUGUGGGGAGGUGGGCGCCCUUGGCCACCGGGUGAGUGGAACUCUCCUUGGAUCGGCUGUGGCCACGGCCACGUUAGGCUCCCACCCUCGCCCACACUUUUGACGGGGCGACUUUUGAUUGCUGCAUUAGGCAACGCUUUGUGGUAAACAUCAGAGUUGUCACCAGGAAGCAUGCCACGUUAUGCUUAUGACUUUAAACAACCCAGUUUUCAAAUCUACUUUGGAAUCUGAGUGAACGUGAACUAGUCCACGUCUCCUAGGUGACCUGGUGCCAAACACUUCUCCGGGUUGGAGACAUUUCCCAAGCUUCCCUGUGGGCCUGUUCUUUGGACUCUUGUCAGCAGCUCCCCCAACUCUGCUAAUGAGGUUUCUGAUAUCGUUGGACUGUUCCAGAACAUUCCAUCUCAGAAACGCUGGCAAGCCUCCUGGCACCGAGAAAGAUGCUGCUUGUGAGUGACUGUCAGCCUCGGCUCUGCAUCUGGAGAACCUGGUUAUCUUGGGGUCUAUCCCCCUAAAAGCCCUCCAGACUCUUUUCUGUAGCCACCUCAAAUCUCAUUCCACCCAGUGCUCACUGCACAGGAAUCAGACUCUGAACUUGCCAGGCUCCUGAGUCUGGGUGGAGUCUGGAGAUGGGUCGGGUCUGGGUUUCCCAUUCUGCAGAGCCCACCAGACUCGCCUCGCCCAGGCAGUGCUGAGCCCCGAAGCCUCUUCCAGGCCUAGCGCCCUCCCCCAGCUCCCCCAUCCUAUGGCAGGUGCUGCCCGGCAGAGUUGUGGCUGCCGGGGACCGAGCAGGGGGACACGGAGCCGGCACCCAGGCAGCCGCUCCCGGAAGCUGGCAGAAGCAUGCUGCUGCCCGUGUAGACGCCUCCUGGCAUGGAAGGGCUGGGCCAGCGCCGGAGAUGGGAGUUCACGCCUCUGUGCGGGUGCUUAACCUUUCCUGCCUGUUGACUUAGGAGCAAAGCCAGUCAGGAAAUAGGCCCGAGAGCCAGAGGGCACCCAGCCCACUUCAACUCAGUACCGACGGAGCACCCAUUGUGCUCACCCCUGACAUCCUGCACUGAGCAAAUGUCCCCAGUAGCAGGGGAUUUGGGCCACAGAGUGAAAACCCGCAGCGGUGUGAGUCUGUGUUCUCCACAUCUCAUACCUGCCAAUACCUAUAUUUUCAGAAUAGAUUUUUGAAGAGCAAA